rnacentral:rRNA from 1 species
UACAGAGGGUGCAAGCGUUGUUCGGAAUUACUGGGCGUAAAGCGCGUGUAGGCGGCUUUGCAAGUCGGGCGUGAAAUCCCACGGCUCAACCGUGGAAGUGCACUCGAAACUGCAGAGCUAGAGUCCUGGAGAGGAAGGUGGAAUGCUUGGUGUAGAGGUGAAAUUCGUAGAUAUCAAGCGGAACACCGGUGGCGAAGGCGGCCUUCUGGACAGUGACUGACGCUGAGGAGCGAAAGCUAGGGGAGCAAACGGG